rnacentral:rRNA from 1 species
GACGAACGCUGGCGGCGUGCUUAACACAUGCAAGUCGAACGGAAAGGCCCUGCUUUUGUGGGGUGCUCGAGUGGCGAACGGGUGAGUAACACGUGAGUAACCUGCCCUUGACUUUGGGAUAACUUCAGGAAACUGGGGCUAAUACCGGAUAGGAGCUCCUGCUGCAUGGUGGGGGUUGGAAAGUUUCGGCGGUUGGGGAUGGACUCGCGGCUUAUCAGCUUGUUGGUGGGGUAGUGGCUUACCAAGGCUUUGACGGGUAGCCGGCCUGAGAGGGUGACCGGCCACAUGGGGACUGAGAUGCGGCCCAGACGCCUACGGGGGGCAGCAGUGGGGAAUAUUGCACAAUGGGCGGAAGCCGGAUGCAGCAACGCCGCGUGCGGGAUGACGGCCUUCGGGUUGUAAACCGCUUUCGCCUGUGACGAGGCGUGAGUGACGGUAAUGGGUAAAGAAGAACGGGCUAACUACGU